AAAUAAGAAUAUGUUUCUUAAUCAUAGGUUUUUUUCCUAACUUAUUUAUUUGUUUAUUUAUUUAGAGACGAAGUCUCACUCUAUUGCCCAGGCUGGAGUGCAAUGGCAUGAUCUCGGCUCACUGCAACCUCCGCCUCCCGGGUUCAAGCGAUUCUCCUGCCUCGGCCUCCUGAGUAGCUGGGAUUACAGGCGCGCACCACCACGUCUGGCUAAUUUUUGUAUUCUUAGUAGAGACAGGGUUUCACCAUGUUGGCCAGGCUGGUCUCGAGCUCCUGACCUCAUGAUCCACCUGCCUUGGCUUCCCAAAGUGCUGGGAUUACAGGCAUGAGCCACCACACCCAGCCUUUUCUCACAUUCUUUAAUGCAACAAAUAUUUACUGAGCCUCUACCUGAAAGCAUCUGUGGUGAAUAAACUCUUAUUCGUGCUACUGGACUCCCAAGCAUACAAAAAAGUGGAAAAAAAAUCACCCUUCAAAAUUCAUCAUUUUGUGGCAUGGAAGAGACAAAGUAGAUAAAUGUUACCUGAGCAAAAAAAAAAAAAAGAGAAGAAUUUCAAGAAGUGGGGGAUAAAAGACAUUCACUACACAGAACACAUGAAAAAAUCCACUUCCUUGGGUGCUUGGGGGAGAAUUAUUCAUUUUGGAGGCAAAGGAUUAAAAAAAUUAACUUCAGCAUAACAAUAAAAGAGAAGACACAUUCACAGUUGUGUGAAAUAAAAGACAAGAAAAAUUCACACUUAGAAAGAAAUAAUAAAAAAGAAACCGGUAUUUCACUUUCACGAAGAACACAGAAUGGACAUUCUCAGAAGAACUUGUGAUUUGGGGGGAAAAAAGGUCAACAAUUAUCCAUAGUAUACAACAAAUACUGAAGAGAAUGCCAAUAAUUGGCAUAUUGAUAUGACAACUAAGAAAUGUUUUCACAUCUUUCAGGCUUAUCCAAAUGAGAAAGAAAAAUGUAAAACUUCAUACAUGUAAAGCAUUUACUCCACUCUUUGAAAUGUGUAUUUCAGACAUGUGUGUAUUUCAGAACCCAAUCGCUUUCUGGGAACUCAGAGUGUGUCCUUUACAACUUGUUGCAUUAGUAUUACCUAAACCCAAAUGUUGGAACCCUUAUCUAUUUUGAGCCACGAAGAAAUUUGGAUAUCACUUAGCUGCAGAGACAGUGGGUUUAGAAAUUGGGAGACAAAGGGGAAAGAUAUUUCCAUUGUCUGUGCACAAAUUCAGGCUCUUCUCUCCGCAACACAAAAGAAUUUGUGAGUGAGUCUAAAGUAAGAGUGAGCAGGAGAGUUGCCUGCACAGCGAACACACACACUCUGACAGCGGAUCAGAACGGGCUGCUCAGGGUUUCUGUGCUUCUGUGAAUUUGGGGACUUUCCCUUCCGUUCCUCUACCUCUUUGCUGUAGGAUUUUGUCACUACAAGCUCAGGAUGUCGUCUGGGUACAUGUGGGUGGUUUGUUCUUUCUAUCAAUUUGACAAGUUUCUUGUUUUCUGCUGAAGGAGGCUAUGAACACCCUAUCUAACCUACCUCAAUGUGAGAUAUUAAUUAUAUUCAAAUCUCAAUUAAAUUUAGCAUCUUCAAAAUUUCAUAGCAGGAAAAUCAUAUAUUUGGCCAAUAAUCAUGCUUCUCCACACCCACCCCGACUCGUGGUUUCUGCCCUGUUGUGAUUAGCUGUUAACAUUUUCUCUCCACACUUCCCACCCUUCAUUCUCUCACAUUCCCAACUUUGCUGUUAAUGUCACCUUUCAGAUUAUAUUGAAAUCUCUCUGAGGACUCACAGAAAUGGGUAUCCACUACAGCACUCCGCAUACAACUUUGCAUAUAAUAAUAUAAAGUAUUGAUUUUAUUUGACUUUUUUGAUCCUUAAAAUCUCCAAAGGUAGUCUUAGAGAUUUAUACGUCUUAUGAAGGAAAUAUAUGACACAUUAUCUAUGAGAGGUAAAUGGGAAAAAUAAAUCUAUGCGAAGAAAGAAAGAAAUAAGACAUCUUCACCUUCUUAAAAAAAUAACAUUUGAAGUUGCCUGUGAAAACUAUUAAGGGCGUUAUCGUAAGUUAUUUAAAGGAAUGACUUUUAUUUGAGUAAUCAGGAAUGAGUCAUAAGCUCUCACAAUUCCCUGUAGGAAAAUGGACCUAGAAUUCUUUUUCAAAAUAAUCUUUUCUUACAGUAGUUGCCUUAUACCCCCAAAUAGGUAGGUGAGGAAAACAUUCAAAUGUCUUUGAGAACUCACUUCCCAAAGGAAUGGUGAAUAUUGUAAUGAAAAUGUUUUAAGUGUCCUUUUUCAAUUCUGAAAAAAAAAUAAUUUAAGCAUGAAAGUUCAAUAUAAUUUUUAAUUGAUGGAUGUUUCCAUAUGAAGGACAUUAAAACCAGA
rnacentral:lncRNA from 10 species